GCGGAUGUGGCGAAAUUGGUAGACGCACCAGAUUUAGGUUCUGGCGGGAGACCGUGGGGGUUCGAGUCCCUCCAUCCGCACC
rnacentral:tRNA from 1 species